GACACAGGGAGGUAUUGACAAGAAAUAACAAUACGGGGCUUAAUGUCUUGUAAUUGGAAUGAUGGGAAUUUAAACCUCUUCCAGAGUAUCAAUUGGAGGGCAAGUCUGGUGCCAGCAGCCGCGGUAAUUCCAGCUCCAAUAGCGUAUAUUAAAAUUGUUGCAGUUAAAAAGCUCGUAGUUGAAUUUCUGCUGCAUCGUCGCAUCUCUUGCUGAGUGCUUCAUUGCGGCUUAUUUCGGAUUGAUUUUUUCUUUCCGGAUGAUUACUUUGAGAAAAUUAGAGUGCUCAAAGCAGGCUUUUGCCUUGAAUAGUUUAGCAUGGAAUAAUAAAGUAGGACUUUGGUUCUAUUUUGUUGGUUUUAGGUACCAAAGUAAUGGUUAAUAGGGACAGUUGGGGGCAUUCGUAUUUUACUGUCAGAGGUGAAAUUC
rnacentral:rRNA from 1 species